CUCAAAUUUGCAGUCCUCUUGCUUCAGCUUCCCAGAGUGCUGGCUGAGGGGUGCUCUUAUUCUUGCUGGAAGUGGGUCCCAGCAGAAUUUCUGGGGAGCUCCUUUUUGUAAUGAAUGGGGUCUAUUGGUAGAGGAAGAGAUAACGGAAAUCAACUGUAUCUUGGCCCCAAUCAAAGGAAGUUCAGAACUUGAUUUUCCAUUUAUCAUCCACAGAUGAUAAAUGAAGACUAAAAGAAGUAAAGUGAUGGGCCAGGGAAUUAGCUUAGUGGUUCUGCCGCCUGCCUCGCAAGGUCCUGAGUUUGAUUCCCUGAACCAAAAAAGAAAGAAGUAAAGUGACAAUUACUAAUUUCUUAUGUAUGUUGUGCAAGUCGACUGCCUGGAGACAAGUACUUUUAAACAUCAGUGAUCCUGUUGACCCAAGAUGCUGCCGCACCAUCGCUGGGGUACAUCAUCGCUUUAGGGGAAGAAAAUACAAUUCUAGAUCAAAGUUUAUUUUUGUGUAUCAGCCGAAUGUGUAUCGCAGCAGUUAAACUUCAGAUUCUUACAGUUGGGGAGGAUGGGACGCCGAAGACCAAGCACCCGCCCUCUGUGUGGUACCAGGUGAGGAUUUGCUGUCUGCUUCUGAGGUGGCUCCUGGCUGCUGUGUCCCCUGAGCAGAGAGACUGCUGCGUCUUCAUGCCACAGAAGACACUCAAGGAAAAAGCUCACCUCUGCAAGUCCUUUCUAAG
rnacentral:lncRNA from 1 species